rnacentral:rRNA from 1 species
UACGGAGGAUGCGAGCGUUAUCCGGAAUGAUUGGGCGUAAAGGGUCCGCAGGUGGCCCGGUGAGUCCGCUGUCAAAGCCUGGGGCUCAACCCUGGAGAGGCGGCGGAGACCACCGGGCUUGAGUCCGGUAGGGGCAGAGGGAAUUCCCGGUGGAGCGGUGAAAUGCGUAGAGAUCGGGAAGAACGCCAAGGGCGAAGGCACUCUGCUAGGCCUGAUUUCGCGACUGACACUCAGGGACGAGAGCCAGGGGAGCGAAUGGG